rnacentral:rRNA from 1 species
UACGAGUGGUGCAAGCGUUAUUCGGAAUAAUUGGGCGUACAGGGUGCGUAGACGGUAUAUUAAGUCUGUUGUUAAAUUCUCCGGCCCAACCGGAGCCAUGCAAUGGAAACUGGUAUGCUAGAGGGUGGAAGAGAGAAGUGGAAUUCUCGGAGUAGCGGUAAAAUGCGUAGAUCUCGAGAGGAACACCGAUGGCGAAGGCAGCUUCUUGGUCCAUUCCUGACGUUGAGGCACGAAAGCGUGGGGAGCAAACAGG